rnacentral:misc_RNA from 1 species
CGCGCGAGCUCGACGGCGCGUGCUGCGCCGCGCGCGCGCGCGCUCGCACGCGGUGCUCGCGCGAGCACCGCGUGCGAGCGCGCGCGCGCGCGGCGCAGCACGCGCCGUCGAGCUCGCGCG